GACGAACGCUGGCGGCGUGCCUAAUACAUGCAAGUAGAACGCUGAAGGAGGAGCUUGCUUCUCUGGAUGAGUUGCGAACGGGUGAGUAACGCGUAGGUAACCUGCCUGGUAGCGGGGGAUAACUAUUGGAAACGAUAGCUAAUACCGCAUAAUAGUAGAUGUUGCAUGACAUUUGCUUAAAAGGUGCAAUUGCAUCACUACCAGAUGGACCUGCGUUGUAUUAGCUAGUUGGUGGGGUAACGGCUCACCAAGGCGACGAUACAUAGCCGACCUGAGAGGGUGAUCGGCCACACUGGGACUGAGACACGGCCCAGACUCCUACGGGAGGCAGCAGUAGGGAAUAUUCGGCAAUGGACGGAAGUCUGACCGAGCAACGCCGCGUGAGUGAAGAAGGGUGUCGGAUCGUAAAGCUCUGUUGUAAGAGAAGAACGAGUGUGAGAGUGGAAAGUUCACACUGUGACGGUAUCUUACCAGAAAGGGACGGCUAACUACGUG
rnacentral:rRNA from 1 species